GUGCCAGCCGCCGCGGUAAUACCGGCAGCACAAGUGAUGGCCGAUAUUAUUGGGCCUAAAGCGUUCGUAGCUGGCCGGACAAGUCCGUUGGGAAAUCCACGCGCUCAACGUGUGGGCGUCCAGCGGAAACUGUCCGGCUUGGGGCCGGAAGGCUCGAAGGGUACGUUCGGGGUAGGAGUGAAAUCCUAUAAUCCCGCACGGACCACCGAUGGCGAAAGCACUUCGAGAAAACGGAUCCGACAGUGAGGGACGAAAGCCAGGGUCUCCAACCGGAUUAGAUACCCGUGUAGUCC
rnacentral:rRNA from 1 species